rnacentral:tRNA from 1 species
CCGACCUUAGCUCAGUUGGUAGAGCGGAGGACUGUAGAUCCUUAGGUCGCUGGUUUGAAUCCGGCAGGUCGAA